rnacentral:rRNA from 1 species
UACAGAGGGCGCAAGCGUUUGUUCGGAAUUAUUGGGCGUAAAGAGCGUGUAGGCGGUCCGGUAAGUCGGCUGUGAAAGUCCAGGGCUCAACCCUGGGAUGCCGGUGGAUACUGCUGGGCUAGAGUACGGAAGAGGCGAGUGGAAUUCCCGGUGUAGAGGUGAAAUUCGUAGAUAUUGGGAAGAACACCGGUGGCGAAGGCGGCGACCUGGUCCGUGACUGACGCUGAGGCGCGAAAGCGUGGGGAGCAAACAGG